rnacentral:rRNA from 1 species
AUGGCGGCGGCCACCUCCUCGUCGGCGGUGGCGGUAUCUACGCCGCAGGGAGUGGCGGAGCGGCGGGGAAUCCCGGCGGCGUCCUUCGUCGAGGAUGUCGAGACCUACCUCCGGCAGGCCGGGCUCGAGGUCAACUCCGCCCUCGCCUUCCUCCAAGAAAGGCUGCAGCAGUACAAAAUGGUGGAGAUGAAACUUUUAGCACAACAAAGAGAACUUCAGGCGAAAAUUCCUGAUAUAGAAAAAUGCUUGGAUAUUGUUGCGACAUUGAAAGCUAAAAAAGCUUUGGGCGAGGCACUCAUAGCUGAUUUUGAAUUAUCUGAGGGAAUCUAUUCGCGUGCUAAAAUCGAGGACUCUGACUCAGUGUGCCUAUGGUUGGGUGCAAAUGUGAUGCUGGAAUACUCCUGUGACGAGGCCAAUGAGCUCUUGAAAAGUAACUUGGAAAAUGCGAGGGCCAGUUUAGAAGUCCUUGUUGGCGAUCUUCAUUUCUUACGGGACCAGCAAACGAUAACUCAGGUUACAAUUGCUCGGAUAUUUAACUGGGACGUGCACCAGCGGAGAAGCAAGCAGUCUGUUAUGAAAGAAACAUGA